rnacentral:tRNA from 1 species
GGCGGUUUAAUGUAAUAGUAACAUAACUGACUCAUGAUCAGUAAAUAUUGGUGCAAAUCCUUUGGCCGCUU